CUCAUUAGUAACACGCAAGUUUCUUCCUCCAGGAAGGAGCUCCUCUUCUGUUUGCUCUCCAUAUUCAUUAUUUACAAUGACAAAGUAGAGUUCCAACUCAGAAAUGUCACCUUGAUAGUGCUUUAGGAAAAUAAGAUGACGAUAUAAUUCUGGGUCCAACGAGGGCAGGUCAUUCAGAUAGUUGAACUUUUGUUUUAAUUUGCUCAAGAAGAAUGUUGCGAAUGGUAUAUCAACAAGAAUACCUUCAAACAUAGCCUUUGCAAGAAGAGUUCCAAGAAAAUGGAAAAACUGAAGAUGCUGUUCAUGUAUCAUUCCUGAGCCAGGAUUAGGGUAGAGUAGAUGAUCUGCUGUUUCCUUAAAUAACCCAUACUGCACAUCAAAUGCUGCUCGAGUAAUAUUCUCCAUGAAAUCUUUAAAAAUUCCACCGCCAUCAAUGCCAGCCUCCUCAACUCCAAGCUCAUUGACAAAUGUUACACGGAUCAAUCCUCGAAGAUCUUCUUCAGACAAUGCACUCAUCUGGUUAUAAGCAUCUUCCAGAAUACGAUCCCGUCGAAUUCUGAAUCUGUUUCUUGUGAAAACACCAUCCACCACAUGUCUUUGCCUCACUGCCAAUAAUUGUGAAUUGAAUAUCUUAACCCUGCUUGUAAAAGGUACCAAAAAUGGAGCUCGCUUCAAUAUGUCAUUUGCUUUGGUUCCAUAUAUUACAGCCUGAGAAAUAAAGAAAUCAUCAACACCAUCAGCAUGGAAGUCACAGGGUGGUGUAAAUUGCCGUCUGUUGUUCCAAUCUUGCAACUGAGAGAGGAGUUCAGAAGCUACAACGCUAACUCUGUGUUUGAUAGAUUCAACUGAGUUCCGCUUAUAAGCAGAAGUGUUCGUAACCAAUUUCACCACAUUGUUAUGAACCAUUGGAUUCACCCAUAGGAGUUGCCAUAGGGCCUGUCUCAGAAUAAUAAUUAGGCAUCGGAUAUCUUUCAACGAUAGUGGCUUCUCCUGUUCAUAGAACUC
rnacentral:misc_RNA from 1 species